rnacentral:piRNA from 1 species
UGGGUCAAUCUGCCUGAAGCCUGCACAGC